rnacentral:rRNA from 1 species
AGAGUUUGAUCCUGGCUCAGAACGUACGCUGGCGGCACGCCUAACACAUGCAAGUCGAACGAAGUAGUAAUACUUAGUGGCAGACGGGUGAGUAACAUGUAGGUAUCUGCCCUUUGGCCUGGAAUAACACGAGGAAACUUGUGCUAAUACCGGAUAAGUCUUUACGGAGAAAGCUUUAUGCACCAUUGGAUGAGCCUGCACUUGAUUAGUUUGUUGGUGGGGUAACGGCCUACCAAGACUGUGAUCAAUAGCUGAUUUGAGAGGAUGAUCAGCCACAUUGGGACUGAGACACGGCCCAAACUCCUACGGGAGGCAGCAGUGGGGAAUCUUGCACAAUGGAGGAAACUCUGAUGCAGCGAUGCCGCGUGAGUGAAGAAGGCCUUUGGGUUGUAAAGCUCUUUCGUCGGGGAAGAAAAUGACUGUACCCGAAUAAGAAGGUCCGGCUAACUUCGUGCCAGCCGCCGCGGUAAUUC